rnacentral:lncRNA from 1 species
CGGAUAUGUUCCUUACGUCGUAACUACAAUCCCCUUCCCUUUCAUGAAUGUGACCUACCGAAUUAGACUAUUUACCGGAUUUGUAAUCACAUAAGCAACACGACGGGUGCCACAUGUGGAGCAGGAUCUGCUUACCCUUCCGGAGCACCUGAGAUCACCCCUAGUUUUGGUGGGGUUCGUGUUGUUUAUUCUUUAGUUUUCUAUGUUGUGUCAUGUGUACUAUUGUUUUUCUGUUUGUC